UGAGUAACGCGUGGGAAUCUACCCAUCUCUACGGAACAACUCCGGGAAACUGGAGCUAAUACCGUAUACGUCCUUAUGGAGAAAGAUUUAUCGGAGAUGGAUGAGCCCGCGUUGGAUUAGCUAGUUGGUGGGGUAAUGGCCUACCAAGGCGACGAUCCAUAGCUGGUCUGAGAGGAUGAUCAGCCACACUGGGACUGAGACACGGCCCAGACUCCUACGGGAGGCAGCAGUGGGGAAUAUUGGACAAUGGGCGCAAGCCUGAUCCAGCCAUGCCGCGUGAGUGAUGAAGGCCCUAGGGUUGUAAAGCUCUUUCAACGGUGAAGAUAAUGACGGUAACCGUAGAAGAAGCCCCGGCUAACUUCGUGCCAGCAGCCGCGGUAAUACGAAGGGGGCUAGCGUUGUUCGGAAUUACUGGGCGUAAAGCGCACGUAGGCGGAUAUUUAAGUCAGGGGUGAAAUCCCGGGGCUCAACCCCGGAACUGCCUUUGAUACUGGGUAUCUCGAGUCCGGAAGAGGUGAGUGGAAUUCCGAGUGUAGAGGUGAAAUUCGUAGAUAUUCGGAGGAACACCAGUGGCGAA
rnacentral:rRNA from 1 species